AAAAAUCCCCAUUAAAGGAAAAGCAACCUGACUAAUUGUAAGUACAAAAAAAAAAAAUCUUUAUAUCGUUCAUUUCUAUCGGAUGCUGCCGGUCGAUGAGGAUGUCCGGAUCGUCGAUGAGGAAAACUGGAAUUCCCCCAAGAGUUUGAAUACAGUCGAAUACGAUUAAAAGGUAGCCAAGGGAUGUUGACUUCUAUUCGAUCGCUACGCGCCCAUUGCCAGGGGUCCAAAAUACCAGCGUGACAAACGACGGGUGCGAGGAACAACACCAAAGCCAGUGUCGACGUGAACCCCAUUGAGUCUUUCUCAACGUUGUUUUGACCAGCAAAAAUCCUCCGCAUACUGUGAGCAAACGACGAAGAGAAAAUUGCAGAAACAAUCUCGUACCCGUGACUCGACUCCAGACCGUCGACUACCACCGAGUCGACGUACACCCUCGGUCUCGUGAUCAGUCGCCAGGUGAGAGGAUUCAAGGUCGUGUGAUAUUGCCAGGUUACCUCCGCCGCCGUCGGUUUUCCAACAAUUUCACCCGGUACGACCAUCGUGUGAGUACUUCCCGGUUCGUAAUAUCUCGAGUGUUCGCUGAACGGCAUAGGCGCGAUCUGCGUCUUGUGACUUCCGACGACACGGAUCAUGAAGACACCGACCUCACCGCCGUGGCUUAUGCUCUCCGCCGUCUCCGAGAUUUUUAUCUUCACGCGAUAGUGACCUCCUGUUAAUUUCGAAACCCCACCCCACCCCACC
rnacentral:misc_RNA from 1 species